UGAAGAGCCAGUCAUCCCUGUCUGCCAUAGAGCUCCAGGCCCACUUGGGUUGGUCUUGAUUAUGAUGGAGCCUUCUGGCCAAGGACCUGGGGCCACACUGAGAAGUGAGCAGCAAUUUCCAUUCUCCCUGAGUUAGAUUCUGGGUGUGCCCAACAGCGACCUCUGGACAGAUGGCUGUCAGGAGAUCCUGUUUGCUUACCUCAAUGGCUCCAGGCACCAGCAUCUCUAACGUCCUCCAGUAGGACCCAGGACAGUACCCUAGCGACCCCGGGCCCUCUUUUCACAGCUCUGAGUGACAACAGUUGAUGGGGUAGCACUCUGUGGUUUGGUCUAGUUAGGAGAUUUCCAAUCUGUGCUGGUAAGUGAGAAUAUGUGUGCCCUACAAGUGUUGCCUGUGUAGAGAAACACCACCUCCUACCCAUGUGAGCCACUAAUCUUUGAAUAUUAAUGAAUGGCUAUAAUUAAUAAAAUGCAUGCUUAUUUGUACAAAUAGCUAAAUUCAUUAUAGGCUUUUGUCAUUAGGUAUUUUCUUGAUCAAGAAAUAUUAAAGGGGCUGGGGAUAUAGUGCCAUUGGUAGAGUGCUUCCCUAGUAUGCACAAGGCCCUGGGUUCAAUCCCCAGCAAAACACACACGUGCGCGCGCACACACACACACACACACACAAGAAAUAUUGAAUAAACAAGCA
rnacentral:lncRNA from 1 species